AUGUCGACGACCUCCUCCUCCGCGGCGGCCGUCGCCGAGGGCUCUGCCGCCCGCCGCUUCUGGAUCGCCGCCUCCUCGCGGGAGGCCGCCUUCGCCACGUACACGCCCUUCCUCCUCUCCCUCGCCGCGGGGUCACUCCGCCUCGACUCCUUCCGCCACUACCUCGCGCAGGACGCCCACUUCCUCCACGCCUUCGCACGCGCCUACGAGAUGGCCGAGGAGUGCGCCGACGACGACGAUGACAAGGCCACCAUCUCCGCCCUUCGGAAAGCCAUCGUCCGCGAGCUCAACCUCCACUCUUCCGUACUCCAGGAGUGGGGAGUUGAUCCUACCAAAGAGAUCCCUCCAAGCCCAGCAACAACCAAGUACACUGAUUUCUUACUUGCAACUGCAGCUGGAAAAGUUGAUGGUGGGAAAGGUUCUGAUAAAAUGGCCACACCAUUCGAGAAGACAAAAAUUGCUGCGUACACUGUUGGGGCGAUGACUCCGUGCAUGAGGCUUUAUGCAUAUCUUGGCAAAGAACUCGGCGUUUUCCUGAAACAAGAUGAAAAUCACCCAUACAAGAAAUGGUUCGAUACGUAUGCAGCCACUGACUUUGAGAGUAAUGCACUCCAAAUAGAAGAGUUGCUUGAUAAACUAAGUGUCUCUUUAACUGGUGAGGAGCUCGAGAUUAUUGGGAAGCUCUACCAACAAGCUAUGAGACUGGAGGUUGAGUUUUUCUCUGCUCAGACCCUCGAAGAACCUGUUGUAGCUCCACUUUCAAGAUAUCGUGAUCCCAAAGACAAGCUCGUGAUCUUUUCUGAUUUUGAUUUGACAUGCACUGUUGUUGAUUCGUCUGCCAUUUUGGCGGAGAUUGCGAUUUUGUCACACCAAAAGGCUAGUCAGAGUGGGUCUGAUAAUGUCCUUGACCGUACAAAAUCAGCAGACCUGAGAAAUUCGUGGAAUAUGCUAUCUAAUCAGUACAUGGAAGAGCAUGAGCAAUGCAUACAAAAGUUACUUCCUCCAGAAGAAGCAAAGUCAGUAGACUACGAUCAACUAUACAAAGGUCUUGAAGUGCUAUCAGAAUUUGAGAGACAGGCAAAUUCUAGGGUUAUUGAUUCCGGUGUCUUGAGGGGAAUGAACUUAGAUGAUAUCAGAAAAGCCGGGGAGCGGCUUAUUCUGCAAGAUGGUUGUCGAAAUUUCUUUAAGAAGAUUGGAGAGACAAGGGAGAAGGUCAAUUUAGAUAUCCAUAUUCUUUCCUACUGCUGGUGUGCAGAGCUUAUUAGGUCAGCCUUUUCAUCAGUUGGUUGUCUUGAUGGAGUAAACAUACAUUCCAACGAGUUUACCUUUGAGGGAUCUGUUUCAACUGGUCACAUCAACAGAAAGAUAGAGUCUCCACUAGACAAAGUUGAGAAGUUCAAAAUCAUCAAAAGUGACCUGGAUAGUAUAACACCAUCGUUGUCUGUUUAUAUCGGGGACUCAGUUGGAGAUUUGCUUUGCUUGUUGGAAGCAGAUGUUGGCAUUGUUGUUGGAUCAAGCACAACCUUGCGGAGAGUGGGCAAACAGUUUGGUGUUUCUUUUGCUCCAUUGCUUCCUGGUUUGGUAGAGAAGCAAAGGCGGCUCUGGAAGCAAGAAGCAUCCAUUUUCAAGGCGCGAUCUGGAGUUCUUCAUACGGUUUCUAGCUGGUCAGAGAGCCUGGCAUGGAUAAGAGGGAUGAACACUGGAGCAAGACCAAGCAUGGAGAUGAUGGCAUGCGCAAGGAGAACAAGAACGGAGUUACAAGUGAUGAUUUCAGGACUUUGA
rnacentral:rRNA from 1 species